CGGUGUUCCGUCACUGCUGUCACUGAUUAAACGCUCCACAAACUGCUGUUGCAGAUGCUGUUGCUGCACUUGCAGACCUGACGGAAAUGAUGUAUUUGCGAAAUGAGGUCGGUGUUUCGUCAUUGCUGUCACUAGUUAAACGCUCCGGAAAAUGCUGUUGUGACUGCUGUUGCUGCCCUUGCAGUCCUGACGGAGAAGAUAUAAUAGCGAAAUGAGUUCUCUGUGCACCAUUCAAGUAAGUGCAAGUGCACUGAAAAUGAAAAGAAAGUUUUCGGAAAUGAAAUAAAACGAUGAAAAUUAUCUAAAUUUCAUGAAGAUGAAAAAGAUGAACACAAAUUAAUAAAAGUGUUCAAAAUUGUGGAUUUGGAAUUAAUAUAUUUCCAUGGUGAGGACAAAUGCCCAAUGAGUUUAUAGAUUUGUAAAAAUAGGAUUUUUUUUAUAUACUUUUCUGUGUCUUCAUUCUAUUUCACUCGUUUUCCUUUUAUUACUAUACCUGCCUUUUUACCUUUGCAUUUCCCUCGUUAGUCUUUUACUUCAUUAGUGCCUUACAGCUGUAGAAAUGUAAAACCUGUGAUUUUUUUUUUUUUUCAUUCUAAAAAUGUUCAGUUUGAUAAGUAAACUUGUAGGGAGGUGAACAAAUUCGACAAAGCAUAAUUUAUGUUUAUUAAUAAAAUUGUUUCUCUAUAUUCGCAAAAGGUCUUAGCAAUAAAUUGUCAGUUAUC